rnacentral:rRNA from 1 species
GCCCACUUGUGGGUGGAUUAGUGGCGAACGGGUGAGUAACACGUGAGUAACCUGCCCUUAACUCUGGGAUAAGCCUGGGAAACUGGGUCUAAUACCGGAUAUGACUCCUCAUCGCAUGGUGGGGGGUGGAAAGCUUUUUUGUGGUUUUGGAUGGACUCGCGGCCUAUCAGCUUGUUGGUGAGGUAAUGGCUCACCAAGGCGACGACGGGUAGCCGGCCUGAGAGGGUGACCGGCCACACUGGGACUGAGACACGGCCCAGACUCCUACGGGAGGCAGCAGUGGGGAAUAUUGCACAAUGGGCGCAAGCCUGAUGCAGCGACGCCGCGUGAGGGAUGACGGCCUUCGGGUUGUAAACCUCUUUCAGUAGGGAAGAAGCGAAAGUGACGGUACCUGCAGAAGAAGCGCCGGCUAACUACGUGCCAGCAGCCGCGGUAAUACGUAGGGCGCAAGCGUUAUCCGGAAUUAUUGGGCGUAAAGAGCUCGUAGGCGGUUUGUCGCGUCUGCCGUGAAAGUCCGGGGCUCAACUCCGGAUCUGCGGUGGGUACGGGCAGACUAGAGUGAUGUAGGGGAGACUGGAAUUCCUGGUGUAGCGGUGAAAUGCGCAGAUAUCAGGAGGAACACCGAUGGCGAAGGCAGGUCUCUGGGCAUUAACUGACGCUGAGGAGCGAAAGCAUGGGGAGCGAACAGGAUUAGAUACCCUGGUAGUCCAUGCCGUAAACGUUGGGCACUAGGUGUGGGGGACAUUCCACGUUUUCCGCGCCGUAGCUAACGCAUUAAGUGCCCCGCC